AGAAGGGAGGUAGUCGCCCUCCGUCGUGGCCUGGCGUGGAUUCCGAGCGUUGGUGUCUGGCGGUUUCCGACCGUUGGUGUCUGGCACGCGCCACCCCGAUGUACCAGGUAAAGCCCUAUCACGGGGUCGGCGCCCCUCUCCGUGUGGAGCCCACCUGCAUGUACUGGCUCCCCAACAUGCACGGCAGGAGCGGCGGCCCAGCACUCGGCACUGGCCACUUGCAGAGGCGGAUUUCCCUGACUGAAGACCAUGUUGCAGGCCCACAGCUGCCUACAGAACCGUCCCAAAAUAUGGCAAAGAAACCUAUUCUGAGCGAUAGGGUCUCACCAUGUUGCCCAGGCUGGUCUUGAACUCCUGGACUCAUCCUAAAGUGCUGGCCUCUCAUUCCCUGUCUGUGCACACCUCACGGCAAGGGCCAGCCUGUUUCCUCCCGGUCACCUCCAAAUCUUGCUGCUUUUAAUUCAACUCAGAGGUAGCAGGGCGCCAAGCAGUGACUUCUGACCAACAGAGUGUGGGGAGAAGGGAUGUGUAUUAGCCCCGGAGGACGUGAUGUGAGACCCGCUUGUGAGUCCUCCACACUCGUUCCCCAUUGGCAAGAUACAUGGAGAGCACCCUGAGGACCUUUAAAAGGCAAAGCCGCAAGGCAGAAGGAGGCUGGGUCCCUGAAUCACCGACUGGAGGAGAGUUACCUACAAGAGCCUUCAUCCAGGAGCAUCCACACUGCAAUGAUAUAGGAAUGAGGUCUGAACUCCACUGAAUUAAACCACUGGCAUUUGGGGGCUGUUUAUUAUAGCAGUGCAAAGAGUUCCUUUAUCCUCCCCAAGGAUGGAAAAAUACAAUUUAUUUUGCUUACCAUACACCCCUUUUCUCCUCGUCCACAUUUUCCAAUCUGUAUGGUGGCUGUCUUCUAUGGCAGAAGGUUUUGGGGAAUAAAUAGCGUGAAAUGCUGCUG
rnacentral:lncRNA from 10 species